UGUGUGUGUGUGUGUGUGUUUGUGUGUGUGUUGGUAUACAUGGUUUAGCCUGCCUUUUGACCUGAAUACAUACUUGCGUUACAUGGACCUAAUGGUAAUGCAAGGGCAAUGCCAAUGUGCUCAUAAAUCAAGGAGUGUAUUUUAAAUUUUGAGUAUCUAAACAACACUUUUUCUCAUAAAUCUAAAGUUUUAUAGGAACUAUGCCAGUUUUUGCAUGAUGUGCACCAUGUAUUUGUACUUUUCAGUGAAUAAACAGCGUGAUAUCUCACUUUCUUUAAUUGUCCUUUUAUACCAUGUGACCUGAGAUUUGUGUUUUCCACUGUAUAACACAGCGCCGCCUGAUUUCAUGUGUCUGUGUGUAUGAAUUGA